rnacentral:rRNA from 1 species
AGAGCGAACGCUGGCGGCAGGCUUAACACAUGCAAGUCGAGCGGGCGUAGCAAUACGUCAGCGGCAGACGGGUGAGUAACGCGUGGGAACAUACCUCUUGGUUCGGAACAACACAGGGAAACUUGUGCUAAUACCGGAUAAGCCCUUACGGGGAAAGAUUUAUCGCCGAGAGAUUGGCCCGCGUCUGAUUAGCUAGUUGGUAGGGUAAUGGCCUACCAAGGCGACGAUCAGUAGCUGGUCUGAGAGGAUGAUCAGCCACAUUGGGACUGAGACACGGCCCAAACUCCUACGGGAGGCAGCAGUGGGGAAUAUUGGACAAUGGGGGCAACCCUGAUCCAGCCAUGCCGCGUGAGUGAUGAAGGCCCUAGGGUUGUAAAGCUCUUUUGUGCGGGAAGAUAAUGACGGUACCGCAAGAAUAAGCCCGGCUAACUCGUGCCAGCAGCCGC